rnacentral:rRNA from 1 species
CAGCCCUGAUACCAGAUACCUUAUACCUGAUACGUGAGCACCGUUAGGUGCGAUAGUGGCGAACGGGUGAGUAACACGUGGGAAUCUGCCCAGAGCAGAGGAUAGCUCCGGGAAACCGGAGGUAAUACUCUAUAGUCUCUUUUUGAGUAAAGGAGCAAUCCGCUUUGGGAGGAGCCUGCGUCCCGAUUAGCUUGUUGGUAAGGUAACGGCUUACCAAGGCUAUGAUCGGUAGCUGGUUUGAGAGGAUGAUCAGCCACACUGGGACUGAGACACGGCCCAGACCCCUACGGGGGGGCAGCAACUAGGAAUCUUGCGCAAUGGACGCAAGUCUUGACGCAGCGACGCCGCGUGCCGGAUGAAGGCCUUCGGGUUGUAACGGCUUUUAACAGGGAAGAUUAUGACGGUACCUGUUGAAUAAGGGUUUGCUAACUCCGUGCCAGCAGCCGCGGUCAUACGGAGGACCCAAGCGUUACCCGGAAUUACUGGGCGUAAAGCGUACGUAGGCGUUCCGUUAAGUCCUAGCUUAAAUCUCGUGGCUCAACUGCGAGUCUGGUUAGGAAACUGACGGAAUAGAGGAUGGUAGAGGCGAGUGGAAUUUCCGGUGUAGGGGUGAAAUCCGUAGAUACCGGGAGGAACACCAAUGGCGAAAGCAGCUCGCUGGGCCAUUCCUGACGCUCAUUUGUACGAAAGCGUGGGUAGCGAGCCGGAUUAGAUACCCGGGUAGUCCACGCCGUAAACGAUGGAUGCUAGCUGUCGGACGAAUUCGACCCGUUCGGUAGCGAAGCUAACGCGUUAAGCAUCCCGCCUGGGGAGUACGAGCGCAAGCUUAAAACUCAAAGGAAUAGACGGGGACCCGCACAAGCGGUGGAGCGUGUGGUUUAAUUCGACGCUACGCGAAGAACCUUACCAGGACUUGACAUCUCGGGAAGUUCAUCGAAAGGUGAACGUGCCGCAAGGAACCCGAUGACAGGUGAUGCAUGGCCGUCGUCAGCUCGUGUCGUGAGAUGUAGGGUUAAGUCCCUUAACGAGCGCAACCCUCAUUACAAGUUGGAUUUGUCUUGUGAGACUGCCCCGGUAACGGGAGGAAGGAGAGGAUGACGUCUGGUCCGCAUUUCCCUUACGUUCUGGGCUACACACACGCUACAAUGGUCGGUACAAUGAGUUGCCAAGCCGCAAGGUGGAGCUAAUCUCAUCAAAACCGAUCUCAGUUCGGAUCGGGGGCUGAAAUUCGCCCCCGUGAAGCUGGAAUCGCUAGUAAACGUAGGUCAGCACACUACGUUGAGUACGUUCCCGGGUCUUGUACUCACCGCCCGUCAAAGCACGAAAGUUGGUAAUACCCAAAACUCUGAUUUAUUCAGGGCUAAGGUAGGAUCAGCGAUUGGGCUU